rnacentral:rRNA from 1 species
CUUUUAUGGAGAGUUUGAUCCUGGCUCAGGACGAACGCUGGCGGCGUGACUAACACAUGCAAGUCGAACGGGGGUUUUGCUUCGGUAGAACCCUAGUGGCGAACGGGUGAGUAACGCGUAGGCAACCUGCCCUUCAGACGGGGACAACAUCCCGAAAGGGG